CUGUGUCCUGCCCAGUUACAAAACUGAUCUAAUGCAGAGACAUCAAAGGGUGUUUCUCACAGACACACUUCUUGCUCCUUCUCGCUUGAACGUGAGAGGCUGAGAAAGUCGCUUUUUGCGCUGGCACCCUACGAAAGUGUGGUUGGUCGAGUUUGGUUAUUCUGCGGUCGGGGUAUGCAAACUAAUGUCAUUUUCUCUUUUUCAACUCUGACACACCAGCAGCUUUAACGACGAGAGACUCUUUUUCUAAAACUUCCUUAUUCCUCUUGGAUUUCACUUCACUUUCGCUCCCUCUGAGCUCAUGUAUGCUGAACCUUGACUUCCCGCACACUUCGGAGCCGGGGGAUGAAACGCCUCCGCUCUCGCUCUAGACCCUAAUGGUGGGAGGUGCAAAGUAAAUUGAGACCAGGAAGCCCCUAAACCCCAAACGCUUUCAGGAGGUGCUUCUUAAAGGUCUGGUUAGCAGAGCUCUUUUGUGUGUUGUUGUUGUUUGUGAGAGGCAGACCAGUCGUUGUGAGGAAGUCUGCUUUUCUCUCUUCUUUUGUAUCUGUGCUGUCUCGGAUGCCUCAGUCUGUCAUCUAAACUUCAGGUCAUGAACGUCUUUAAAGAGGCCUGCUGCUCCGUUUUAGGAGUUCUUCUGGCUCUGUUUCUGCAAGGGUCGUGUGUUGAUCCAGAGACGGAGGUCGUGCACAAAGCUGUUGGAGACUCACUGGAAUUAAUCGCUGAAUAUCCAAAAAAGAUCUUGAAGUACACUGGAAAUAUCAUGAGAGUGAUUUUGCUGUGUACCAAAAUAAUGAUUUGAAAAAGCUAAUCCUGAAUUAUUUUCAGGAAGGCUAAAGCUGUAUAAAGACAAUAUUAGCGUAACAGUAACAAACCUUAAACUCCAGGAUUCUGGAAGCUUCUCUAUUGUUGGAGAAGCAGUAAAUAAUACACAUAUUACACAAUACACAGUCAAACGGAUUGAGCUACAUGUUCAUGAUCUCAUCAGAGAGGUGAACAUUCAGUACGAUUAUUCCUGGCUGCAAUCUCAAAACAUCUGCUUGUUUCAUCUCCGGUGUGCGGCUGAUGAUCCCGGGACCUUCUACAGCUGGAGCGGUCAUCAGAUCGGGACUCAAGGAUCUGACCUGAACAUCACUCUCGGUCCAGAAGAGAAAAACACAGUCACCUGCACAGCCAGGAACAACGUCAGCAUCAAGAGCACUACUGAGGAUGUAGUGUGCACAAGGAAGGGUCAAAGGUUCUGUGUAAAGGCUUAACUUCUCUAAGGAUACAAAAAGGUUUACUUUGAAAUAAAGACAAGCAAAGAAAAGGCCUGUGUAUUUUGGAGAUUAUGUGUAUUUUUUAAAUAGCUCUAAAAUGAUCUUGUUAAAUUAUUUAGCAUGAUAUUUAGGAUGUAUAUAUAUUAAGAGCAACAUGGGCCCAA